rnacentral:rRNA from 1 species
AGUAACGGCGAGUGAAGCGGCAACAGCUCAAAUUUGAAAUCUGGCUCUUUUAGGGUCCGAGUUGUAAUUUGCAGAGGGCGCUUUGGCUUUGGCAGCGGUCCAAGUUCCUUGGAACAGGACGUCACAGAGGGUGAGAAUCCCGUACGUGGUCGCUAGCUAUUGCCGUGUAAAGCCCCUUCGACGAGUCGAGUUGUUUGGGAAUGCAGCUCUAAAUGGGAGGUAAAUUUCUUCUAAAGCUAAAUAUUGGCCAGAGACCGAUAGCGCACAAGUAGAGUGAUCGAAAGAUGAAAAGCACUUUGGAAAGAGAGUCAAACAGCACGUGAAAUUGUUGAAAGGGAAGCGCUUGCAGCCAGACUUGCUUGCAGUUGCUCAUCCGGGCUUUUGCCCGGUGCACUCUUCUGCAGGCAGGCCAGCAUCAGUUUGGGCGGUGGGAUAAAGGUCUCUGACACGUUCCUUCCUUCGGGUUGGCCAUAUAGGGGAGACGUCAUACCACCAGCCUGGACUGAGGUCCGCGCAUCUGCUAGGAUGCUGGCGUAAUGGCUGUAAGCGGCCCGUCUUGAAACACGGACCAAGGAGUCUAACAUCUAUGCGAGUGUUUGGGUGUCAAGCCCGAGCGCGUAAUGAAAGUGAACGGAGGUGGGAACCCGCAAGGGUGCACCAUCGACCGAUCCUGAAGUUUACGGAAGGAUUUGAGUAAGAGCAUGGCUGUUGGGACCCGAAAGAUGGUGAACUAUGCUUGAAUAGGGUGAAGCCAGAGGAAACUCUGGUGGAGGCUCGCAGCGGUUCUGACGUGCAAAUCGAUCGUCAAA